UACGUGCAAGUCGAGCGAACAGAUGAAGUGCUUGCACUUCUGACGUUAGCGGCGAACGGGUGAGUAACACGUAAGGAAUCUACCUAUAAGCGGGGGAUAACAUUCGGAAACGGGUGCUAAUACCGCAUAAUAUCUUCUUCCGCAUGGAAGAAGAUUGAAAGACGGCUCUGCUGUCACUUAUAGAUGACCUUGCGGUGCAUUAGUUAGUUGGUGGGGUAACGGCCUACCAAGACGAUGAUGCAUAGCCGACCUGAGAGGGUGAUCGGCCACAUUGGGACUGAGACACGGCCCAAACUCCUACGGGAGGCAGCAGUAGGGAAUCUUCCGCAAUGGGCGAAAGCCUGACGGAGCAAUGCCGCGUGAGUGAAGAAGGCCUUCGGGUCGUAAAACUCUGUUAUAAGAGAAGAACAAAUUGUAGAGUAACUGCUACAGUCUUGACGGUAUCUUAUCAGAAAGCCACGGCUAACUACGUGCCAGCAGCCGCGGUAAUACGUAGGUGGCAAGCGUUGUCCGGAUUUAUUGGGCGUAAAGGGAGCGCAGGUGGUUUCUUAAGUCUGAUGUGAAAGCCCACGGCUUAACCGUGGAGGGUCAUUGGAAACUGGGAAACUUGAGUACAGAAGAGGAAUGUGGAACUCCAUGUGUAGCGGUGGAAUGCGUAGAUAUAUGGAAGAACACCAGUGGCGAAGGCGACAUUCUGGUCUGUUACUGACACUGAGGCUCGAAAGCGUGGGGAGCAAACAGGAUUAGAUACCCUGGUAGUCCACGCCGUAAACGAUGAGUGCUAGGUGUUGGA
rnacentral:rRNA from 1 species